rnacentral:rRNA from 1 species
CCUACGUGAGGCAGCAGUGGGGGAUAUUGGACAAUGGGGGAAACCCUGAUCCAGCGACGCCGCGUGAGUGAAGAAGUAUUUCGGUAUGUAAAGCUCUAUCAGCAGGGAAGAAAGACAUGACGGUACCUGAGUAAGAAGCCCCGGCUCACUACGUGCCAGCAGCCGCGGUAAUACGUAGGGGGCAAGCGUUAUCUGGCAUUACUGGGUGUAAAGGGUGCGUAGACGGUAAUGCAAGUCUGGAGUGAAAGGCGGGGGCCCAACCCCCUGAGUGCUCUGGAAACUGUGUAACUGGAGUGCAGGAGCGGCAGGCGGAAUUCCUAGGUGAGCGGUGCAAUGCGUAGAUAUUAGGAGGCAAACCAGUGGCGAAGGCGGCCUGCUGGACUGUAACUGACGUUGAGGCUCGAAAGCGUGGGGAGCAAACAGGAUUAGAUACCCCUGUAGUC